UACGUAGGGUGCAAGCGUUGUCCGGAAUUAUUGGGCGUAAAGAGCUCGUAGGCGGUUUGUUAAGUCCGUUGUGAAAGCCCUGGGCUCAACCUGGGAAUUGUAGUGGAUACUGGCGAGCUAGAGUGCGGUAGAGGAUGGUGGAAUUCCCGGUGUAGCGGUGAAAUGCGUAGAGAUCGGGAGGAACACCCGUGGCGAAGGCGGCCAUCUGGGACCCAGCACUGACGCUGAGGUGCGAAAGCGUGGGGAGCAAACAGG
rnacentral:rRNA from 1 species